AACUGAAUGUAUUCAACUGAAAUGUGUCACUCCAUUUACACAUCUUUGAGAUCUGAAAACAUCGGACAAACAUUUUGUAGUGAACUAUCAUUUUAAGAGGACUGCAGUGCAGAUUAAAGGUGGUCUUUCCAUGAUUUCAUUGUAUUUUCUUUCUGCAUUCCAGACCCCAGUAAUUGUAACAAAAUGAACGCCUGAAACAACGACAGAAUUUACAGAAACGGCAUACAGGUGACUAUUUAUUGCUGAUAACAUUGUUACAUUUGAUUCAGAGGAUGUUCUAAUUAUUGUACGGGUGAUUAUUAUCCUGUGGCUCCCAUGCUCUAGUGCUCUGAUGUAGGUCUGUUCCAGUGCAGUUUGACAGGGCAGGUGUUUCUGACGGAGGGGGAGGUGCUGUACAAGACUGUCCAAUGGGACGAGAAUCUCCUGGAUUCUACAGGCCGUACUCAUGCAGGAGCCCUGUUCAGAUCCUCAGGGGUCUGUCCGUCAGCAGAUGUGACUGGUGACAGUGUGGAUGUUUUAUCGCCGCUGAGGGUGACUGACACACACACACAGUGGUAAACACCAGCAACCUCUCCUUAUGGGGCCUUGUCAGAAAGUAUAUACGGGACGCCCUGCUCUCGACCAAGGGGCAGGUGUUGCCUUUCCAAUCACUCCAAUCAGUUCUCAAUGUGAUCGUCCUGCCAUCAAAUGUGCCACUUGAACAGGUAAGAAAAUCCCUUCUGAUGGUUGGGUAACUCUGUUUUUCUACCACAGGCAGCCAGAUGUGCAUUGAGUUUUCAGUGCGAGUACCCUCAUUGAUAAUCACUUCUUAUUCUGUUGCAGGCGAAGCGGCAACAGACAGGGAACACUUACGUACAGGUCUGUUCGGACUGCAUUCUCACUCGAGGGGAAACAUACAGUCUGAAGACUGAAGAAGAUAACCCCUAAGGUAGACUCUGACAGGUGUUGCAUGCUAAUAAUGUCACAUCUUGAUCAUAGUAACAGCUGUACGCUGAUGCUACAUACUGGAUAUUCCAUGACAAUAAUUACCUCAUGUUAAGUACACUUUUCUAAAUGGUCACUCACACUGUAAGGUGCGUAGAUAUGCGUGCGCAGCUGUGGAAGAUGGCUAAAUAGUCAAGUUCAAAUCAGCUACAUCUAUUACCUGUCUCUGUGUAGUCUCUAUAGACAGACGGCUUGCCUCACACGAUGUACCAAUGUCCCAACAUACACGUCUGUACAAGUACCUGCGUUAAAUGGGACAGAGUUGAGGGGUCAGAAAUGGGAUGUGCGUUAUCGCCUUAUCCGGUGACGUCACUGCCAUAUCUGCUCGUUGCCCUAGCUUAAACAUCCCCGCCAGACACAAAGUACUAGCUAGCUAGCAAGAUGGAGAACGCAGAGGUUAUUUUUAACGAGUGCAACUGUCAAGUUUGCGUCAUUUACCUUCACUAAAACCACUGCAAAGGUUUUUCCCGCAAACUUUGGUUUUGAAUCGCAAUGUUCUGGCAUGUCUGCUUUCAGGGUGUUCCUGGAUGCAGAUACAAAGGAUAUGGAGCUAAGGCUUCUGAAAAGAGGGCUUGAUAGAGAGGUGUGGACGAAGGUGCUUGUCCGUCUGCCAGGUUCUGUGUUAGUGGGAAGGCGUCAGGCUGAGACUAGUCAGACGGGUUCGACAGAGAGGCUGCGUUCUGUGAGGACAGAAUUUGUCAAUCGAGUGUCAGGACCUGGGCUCGGCAGUUUAUUGGACAGGCUUCUGCAAUGGGAAGUUCUCAAUGAACAUGAAAUGGAGACAGUGUAGGUGAUUCCUGAGAGAGCAAAGAAGGACCGGGAAGUCAUAGACAUGGUGCUGAGGAAAUGAGCUGCUUCAUGUUUGCUAAUGAAAACCCAUCUGAUUGAACUGGACCCCUUGUUAUGCGCAAUGCUUGGUGUCUGCUGAAACAUUAUUGUAGUAUGAGGCAUUGAUGAGCAUGACCAAUGAUGUCUGUGUUCAAUAAUACAUUUGGUYUGUAAUUAUUGAUUAUUUUGGAAUUAGGGUGUAAGGCAUAUCAUUUUUUUAUCAUUCAGUAUACGUGUAACCGCAAUAAACGUUG